CUGGGGCACGGAGGAGCUGCAGUGCGCGGGGGACGAGUGGGUGCGCAAGCCAGGUUUUGCCAGCAACAAGUCGAUCCACUCGCAGCUGGGAUCGCGAGCCUCGGCGAACUCGUUCGUCAAGCUGGAGGCACAGGAGGAGAACUGGGGCAGCUUUUCGUCAAACAAGC
rnacentral:SRP_RNA from 13 species